UAUACUAUAAGUUUACCUUUCCAUUCCCGACUAGCAGUUACUAUCUCGCUACUACAGAACAGUCGUAAUCGCUCAGAUUCAAGCGUCAGAGCCAAUAAAACGAUUAAUCGAGGUUGCGGUUCCCGACUUUAAUCAUGUUUUGAUAAAAUUCGUGCCGGAAAUCGUUCGUCUAGGCUUCAGCUGACGCAAGGAAGUCUUAUCCAUUCGGCUUAAUCAAUGUUCUACAACUUGUCCGACAAACAUUUACUUAUUGCUUUUCGAAGCCAACAGUCACGAGUUCUAGGCAUAGUGAAAUUUGCUAUUUUAAAAUGGCAGGAGCAAUCAAAACACACUCAACUGUUGCAAUAUUACUUCUAUUUGUUUCGCUUUCUGCCCUUCUGCCCUUCGCUGCAGAGGCAGCUCGGUGUGAUGGACUUCCUGGCGGAACCUUGCUGAUUCAUGAAAGUUUUGCAGACUGUAAUCGGUACAUUGCCUGCCAACAUGACACCGAUCACGAGUGGUACUGUCCUACUGGGGAAUUUUUCAAUCCACGUAACCUACAAUGUGAAGCCACCUGUCCAACGGGAAGAGAAACCUUAUGGUGUGCUGGAGUGCCGGAUGGUGCUUUCAUUCGCGUACCACCGACGCAGGCUCCUAAUUGUCAACAAUACUACACGUGUUUUGGAGGAAACAUGUUCUUGAACACAUGUCCCCAAGGGUUUUUCUUCUCCCAACUGCUCCAGGCAUGUACUUUUAGCCAAGAUGAUUGCUAAUAUUGUCACUAAUUGUCUAAUAUAACAAUAAAGUUACUACACACUCGGAUAACAUG